AAUAUUCAUUAACUCCGAAUCUGGUAGUCUAAUGGAAACUACGACAACCAGGUCGUUGGGUUUACCGGGAAACCGAUAAGCCUCCCGUUGCGGAAAGGAGUCAGUGCUACUAUUGA
rnacentral:ncRNA from 2 species